AUAUGAUGUGACAAGGGUCUUUCCCACCAUGUCACUUGCUGCCUCAUUGACCAACAGUGUUGAUUGAGCACCUGGCUGACUAAACAGGAAUCCCCUUCUCUAACCACUAUACAAGUGCCUCUGUGGAAGAGAACCAUUUUUAGUCAAUAAAAUACUAGCAGCUGUGCUCCCUGCUAGAACCUCCAAACAAACUCUCAAGGAUAAAGGAACAUAUUUGAAGCUCUCAUGUCAGAGGCCAUAGGAAUCAUCAUUAUGGCCACCCCAUAGGUGGUGGGU
ensembl:misc_RNA 7SK 7SK RNA